rnacentral:lncRNA from 1 species
CGCCCUGAGCCCGUCCCCCUUGUCCCGCCGGCCAGACCCGCUCGGACGAGGAGAGGGAGGCCUGGCUGAAGACCCUGCGGGCCAGGGGAGCAGCGGAGCCGGCCUGCGAGCGGACCCCGCCGGACAGCCCGAGCCUGGGAGAUGCCGGCAGCUGCCCGGCUGCAGGGUAAGGAGGCAGCGGCGGCCGUGGGGCCGGCACGGGGCUGCCAGCGCUGAUGGACUCACCUCCGCCCCUGCUUGCAGCGGGCUGCUGCUGCGCCGCUUCCCGACCCCCAACGCCUACAUGGACGACCCCUUUGGGCAGCUCCCGCCGGCCGCGUCCCCCAACCCCGUCUACUCCAACGUGGAGCGGCUGCAGCAGCUGCAGCAGAGCCUGGACCGCGCGGCCCCCCGGCCGCACAGGAGACCCCUCUCCGCGGUGCCCAGCGGGGCCUGCAGCACCGCCCUGGGGGGGGCCGUGCCGGCGCAGGCAGGUGAGGAGCGGGCUCCGGCUCCGCUUGGCUUCGUUUCAUCUCCUUGGCCCCUCGCUCGGGGCAGCCGCUCCGCGCCUGGGUGCUCCCCGUGCAGACCGUCCCGGGAGAGGACGCGGUGCCCGCGAGCCCCGCGCCGCGGCUGCCCUUUCCCCUGCCCUUCCUCCCGCAGCAUCCGCCGCGCCUCGCCUGGGCCAGGCUGCCAGCCGGCAGCGGGCGGAGGUGAGCCCCGAGCUCAAGAGCAGGGAUUUCUUCCGCUCCCAGCGCACGCUGACGCUGCCCGAGAGGAAGGGGGCUCGCGACGGCUUGGACUUCCUCAUCGGUAGGAUGCGGCGGGCUCGGAGCCCGCGCGAGACGGUGCACGGGGUGCCGCUCCCCGGCCCGCGCAGCACCGGGCUCAGCCUCCCGCUGCCCGCGCAGGCAGGAGAGCCUUCCCCAAGCUGGAGGAGAAGGUGGGGCAGCUGGAGAGGGCCUGCCGCGUGAAGAGCAGGCUGAAAGCCGGCUCCGAGAUGAACCUGCUGGCCAUCGGCAAGUCGCUCAAGGGCCACAUAGCCGCCACCGCGAGCUCGGCCGGCUCCGAGGUAGGAGGGCCGCGGUGGCGGGGACCGGGGCGCGCGCGGCCUGGGGAGGGCUGCGAGGGGCCUUUGGCCRGGUGGGAAAGGCAGCGGGGUCUCUGUGCGUUGCUCGUCGGGGUUGGGCAGAGCAGGCAUCGCCCUCUCCCCUCUGCCCGCCCCGGUUUUGCUGUCAGGGCUCUUUCCUCACGCCGCUGCUGAAGCGCACGGCCUCCGCGAAGAGCGCCCUGAAGCGAGCUCCCUCCGUGGUCGUCAUCGAAAAGGGGAAGGUGCUGCAGAAGAGGAAGGUACGGCUGGAGCGGGGAGGCGGGGACGCUCGCUCACACGUGGGCAGAGUUAAGGUGACCCGGGUGCAGCCCGGGACCCCGGAGGUCCUGCCAGAAGCUGCCCCRGCUCUGCUGCUUUCCAGGAGUGGGAGAUGAAGUCUGCCCUGUGAGCAGCCCCUCGUGCCCGCGCCGCGUUCCGGGGGCAGGAUCCGCCCCGCACACACCCUGCCCGCCCAGGCACCUCUCAGCACAGCAACGCUGCACGUGGACCGUGCAGGACCGCCUCGGUAUCUGUUUUUUUAACCAUUGGUAUCAACGCUAUAACUACGUGUAUCUAUUUUUUAUAUAUAUUAUAUAUAUAUGAACUCCCUGUCUGGGUUUCCAGUUUCUCGGCAGCGGCACCGAGGGCGGGCAGCCCCUCGCGGGCCCCGCUGCCUUGUCCCCCUCCCUGGCCCGGGGUCAGGGCUGCUCCCAGCAGCUUUGCGCUUUGGGCCCAGUUUUCCGGCUGCAACCUCACUGCCGCCAGCUCUGUCC